CACCAGACUCCUACGGGAGGCAGCAGUGAGGAAUAUUGGUCAAUGGGCGGAAGCCUGAACCAGCCAAGUCGCGUGAGGGAAUAAGGCCCUACGGGUCGUAAACCUCUUUUGCCGGGGAGCAAGCGUGCGUUCGUGAACGCGCGUCGAGAGUACCCGGAGAAAAAGCAUCGGCUAACUCCGUGCCAGCAGCCGCGGUAAUACGGAGGAUGCGAGCGUUAUCCGGAUUUAUUGGGUUUAAAGGGUGCGUAGGCGGAAUGCCAAGUCAGCGGUAAAAUCGCGGGGCUCAACCUCGCUCCGCCGUUGAAACUGGCGUUCUUGAGUGGGCGAGAAGUAUGCGGAAUGCGUGGUGUAGCGGUGAAAUGCAUAGAUAUCACGCAGAACUCCGAUUGCGAAGGCAGCAUACCGGCGCCCAACUGACGCUGAAGCACGAAAGCGUGGGUAUCGAACAGGAUUAGAUACCCUCGUAACC
rnacentral:rRNA from 1 species